AUCUCUCAGCAAAAACCCUACAAGCCAGAGGAGAUUGGGGCCCUAUCUUCAGUCUCCUCAAACAAAACAAUAACCAGCCAAGAAUUUUGUAUCCAGUGAAACUAAGCAACAUAUAUGAAGGAAAGAUACAA